rnacentral:tRNA from 1 species
UGUGGGAAAGAUUUUGCGGCGUGAGCUGCGGUGAGCUGUCGGUUCGUCGAUGACGAGAGGGGCGGUUCCGCCGCCGCCUCUCGUUC